rnacentral:tRNA from 1 species
GCAUCCGUAGCUCAACUGGAUAGAGCGUCGGCCUCCGGAGCCGAAGGUUGUGAGUUCGAGCCUCGCCGGAUGCA